rnacentral:ribozyme from 13 species
UUUGUAAAUUUUGUCUUGAUUCUUUCAAAUCUUGUAAAUUUUGGUGUUUUUUUCCUUCUUCCACCAACUUUUUCUGAUUGUCUAAAAUGUCUCCCGAGAGAAUGGAGGGAUAAGAAGAAGGCGCAGGCGGAGGAGAAGAUGAUGAUGAAGAAGAAGCAACAAAAGAAGCAUCUCCAUGAAUUUUGACGUCGUUAUUGAAAGUUAUAAG